rnacentral:rRNA from 1 species
UACGUAGGGACCAAGCGUUGUUCGGAUUUACUGGGCGUAAAGGGCGCGUAGGCGGCUUAACAAGUCACUUGUGAAAUCUCCGGGCUUAACUCGGAACGGCCAAGUGAAACUGUCAAGCUAGAGUGCAGAAGGGGCAAUCGGAAUUCUUGGUGUAGCGGUGAAAUGCGUAGAUAUCAGGAGGAACACCGGUGGCGAAGGCGGCUUUCUGGACAGUAACUGACGCUGAGGCGCGAAAGCUAGGGGAGCAAACAGG